CGGUACUGCUCAGUCUCUUCGGACCAUUUCUUCAAAUGGCAGAUUCUACAAGGGGAAGUUGUGAGCAUGUCUUGACCUGAUGGCUAUUACUAUUCUGAUUGAUUUAAGAUUCAAAAACGGUAUUAGUCCAUUGAUCAUACUUGCAGUGAAAUGCUGUUUUGCAGACACCGCAGACUAAAAACUAGAAAGAAAGAUGUACAUCAGGGGGAAGCUGCUGUUUGCCGACCACGUCUCAAACUGCUCCCGCGGCUCCAUCAGGAGCCUCCACCGGCAGAUCUCCACCAGCAGAAGGGACUUCAGGCUGGGCUUGAGUCUCCCUGCAGACCACAAGAUCAGAAUCCAGCUUACGCGUGGAGGUCUGUGGCCGGUCUCCUCGUUCACCCGGCGGUCUCUCC
ensembl:lncRNA